rnacentral:piRNA from 1 species
UCCCUCCUUAGGAAGUAUCCUUGAGCCAGG